rnacentral:rRNA from 1 species
CAGUUAGUUGGCGGGGUAAUGGCCCACCAAGACGAUGAUCAGUAGCCGGCCUGAGAGGGCGCACGGCCACACUGGGACUGAAACACGGCCCAGACUCCUACGGGAGGCAGCAGUGGGGAAUUUUGCGCAAUGGGGGAAACCCUGACGCAGCAACGCCGCGUGGAGGAUUAAGUCCCUUGGGAUGUAAACUCCUUUCGACAGGGAAGAAACUGACGGUACCUGUAGAAGAAGCCCCGGCUAACUUCGUGCCAGCAGCCGCGGUAAUACGAGGGGGGCAAGCGUUGUUCGGAAUUAUUGGGCGUAAAGGGUGCGUAGGCUGUGCGGUAAGUCACCUGUGAAAACUCUGGGCUCAACCCAGAGCCUGCAGGCGAAACUGCCGUGCUGGAGUAUGGGAGAGGUGCGUGGAAUUCCCGGUGUAGCGGUGAAAUGCGUAGAUAUCGGGAGGAACA